UCAGGCAGAGGAGGAAAACCUGAACUCCUGGGUGAGUGCUAAAUAGUGUGUGGACUUGGAGGGGUACCAUGAGCCUUGCAAGGAGAUGGAGUAGGUGCCUAAGGAAAAGCUGAGGAUCUGGAAUUCCACACAAGCUUAGCCAUGAGCCAUAUGAUGAAGCAAUGUAGCCAAGCUGUGGGUUGGCUGAGGUUUGCAUCACUGCCCUGACCCAGAUUGCAUCUGCAGUCAUCUGGAACUGACUACACGCCUGAGCUGAUGAAAGAGCUGUGGAAAUAUGGAUCUCUGGGGCCUUGGCAAGAUGCUUGUGCCAUAUCCGCCUGUCCUCUGGAAGACAAAAGAGUGAGGAUCAGCAGUGUGUCAUUUAUUCUGCAAAAACGGAACAUAUGAAAACUGUUGUGACAGCCAAUGGAAGAAAUUAAAAAUUAAGGAAAGGCUUGUAUGGAACAAGAGGAAAAUUGUCCCAGCAUUUUGCACUUUUUUGUAAUUGAAGUCCUGUCUUUAGAGGGAGUUCUGUCAACUACACACUUGGUGAGGCCUAUAAGGAUUUUCCUUGUGUGAUACCUGCAGAAGUUAGCCCUAGCACAUCACACUAUUCUAAAAGUCAUGUCCAGUAAGCAGUAGGGUGGGCUGUCUUGGGAAAAAUGCAGGAAGAAAACUUGGUGAGAGCUGGAUCCUCUGCAGUGUCACCUUUCAUAAGGGAUUAACAAAAGAAAAAAAAAAAAAAAGAAAAAGUGAGCUAAUGGGAGGAUGGAUGCUUCCUAUUGUGGAAUAGGACAAAACCCUGUGACAUGUUCCCUCCUAUUAGGUCUGAUGCCACUUGUUAUGAUAAAGAUUAAUUUCUAAAAAUCAACUGUAAAAUUAUAGGUCAGCCAAUAAGACAGUGACUUGACUAAUUUUUCAGUACAAAGUGUAUGAUAGUUUUAUGCCUUUAAUUGACAUCAGUGCGGUGUGUUGUUGAAUCCAAUGAAAUUUGAAUCCCACUUGAAUUUGUUUUCCACAAGCAGAUUAUGAACAGAAGUCUUUGAUUUCUAUCAAUUAUGUAUUUUUGAGUGAAAAGCUAUUUUGUGUAUAUUAUUUAACAGCAGGAAAUGUAGCACAUGUUUAUUUUUAUUAAACUAAUAAAAGGAAUAAACCAACCA